rnacentral:SRP_RNA from 1 species
CCGUACUAAGUGGGGAGUUAGCGGUGCCCUGUACUCGCAAUCCGCUAUAGCGAGGCUGAAUUCCCGGCCCAGGGUCGUGCUGCGCAGUGAAUGGAGUCGGUAAGUGGUGUUGAGGGAUGGAUCCUGUGCAACAUAGUGCCACGAACCCUGUCAGGUCCUGACGGAAGCAGCAGUAAGAGGAUUUUUAUGUGUGCCGCAGAGCAAUCUGUUCUGAGCUGGCUGCCGAAAUCCCUGCUGUGCAUGCGAUUCAAAGCCGGGUGUACG